rnacentral:tRNA from 1 species
CGGGGCGUAGCGCAGAUGGCUAGCGCAUAUGCAUGGGGUGCAGGCGGUCGCUGGUUCAAGUCCAGUCGCCCCGACCA